UACCUGCAGCUCGAGUGGUAACCGCUAUUAUUGGGCCUAAAGCGUCCGUAGCCGGUUUGGUAAAUAUCUGGGUAAAUCGUGAGGCUUAACUUCACGAAUUUCGGAUAGACUGCCAGACUUGGGAUCGGGGGAGGUCAGAGGUACUCCAGGGGUAGCGGUGAAAUGUUGUAAUCCUUAGGAGGACCACCGGUAGCGAAGGCGUCUGACUAGAACGAGUCCGACGGUGAGGGACGAAGCCCUGGGGCGCAAACCGGAUUAGAUACCCGGGUAGUACCAGGGUGUAAACGAUGUGGGCUUUGUAUUGGAGGUCCCACGUGGGCGUCCAGUGCAGAAGAGAAGUUGUUAAGCCCACCGCCUGGGAAGUACGGUCGCAAGGCUGAAACUUAAAGGAAUUGGCGGGAGAGCACAGCAACGGGAGGAGGGUGCGGUUU
rnacentral:rRNA from 1 species